GGUCAUAGAGUUGAGAUCUUUAAGUGCAUCGUCGGGUCGACGAUGAAAAUGGAGGGGUGGAUUGUAGUGGUAUGAGGCACCACUGAUUUAGUUGGUUUGACUGCACUCCGGCCGCUCUGCCUCAUUAGCCAAUCACUGCGCUUACAGAGGGGAGAAAAGUAGGCUGUGUCCCUCCUCCUGAUCUCUCGCUCCCGGGUCGUUGUAUGUGCCGCUAGCAUCCGAGCACAGAUCCGGCGUCUUCACCGCGGUCGAGCCGAUCGUUCGUGGGCGGUGUUUAUUGCUGCAACCAGAGCAUUGUCUGCUGGUUGUGUGCUGCAUGGUGGCUGUCUUCCCUGCCACGACUGAUCUCUUCACCCCUCUCCCUCUUUGGACGGGAUGCUAAUGCACCCGGACUUAUAACUGUAACUGUAACGCUAAGGCUAGCGC